GGCAUGUAGCUCAGCAGUAUAGCACCUGCCUGGCAAGCACGAGGCCCUGGGUUCAAUUCCUGGUACCA
rnacentral:tRNA from 1 species